rnacentral:rRNA from 1 species
GAUGAGCAUGCGUCCCAUUAGCUAGUUGGUAAGGUAACGGCUUACCAAGGCUACGAUGGGUAGGGGUCCUGAGAGGGAGAUCCCCCACACUGGUACUGAGACACGGACCAGACUCCUACGGGAGGCAGCAGUGAGGAAUAUUGGACAAUGGGCGCAAGCCUGAUCCAGCCAUGCCGCGUGCAGGAUGACGGUCCUAUGGAUUGUAAACUGCUUUUAUACGAGAAGAAACACUCCUUCGUGAAGGAGCUUGACGGUAUCGUAAGAAUAAGGAUCGGCUAACUCCGUGCCAGCAGCCGCGGUAAUACGGAGGAUCCAAGCGUUAUCCGGAAUCAUUGGGUUUAAAGGGUCCGUAGGCGGUUUAAUAAGUCAGUGGUGAAAGCCCAUCGCUCAACGGUGGAACGGCCAUUGAUACUGUUAGACUUGAAUUAUUAGGAAGUAACUAGAAUAUGUAGUGUAGCGGUGAAAUGCUUGGAGAUUACAUGGAAUACCAAUUGCGAAGGCAGGUUACUACUAAUUGAUUGA